UGAGACUUGUAUCCCCGGGACAUGGGAGUUAACCUGGGAAUGCAGCCCAUUCUCCUUUUUCGAGAACUGCCGAUCAUCAUGGAAAGAUUCACCACCUUGUUACUGAAACAAUCCAGUUCCGAGACGCCGUUCCUUACCAGUUCCCAGCCUGCACUGCCUGUAGCCUGCAUCAUUCCCCUGGCCUGCUCCCCAUGGCUGUCACUCCUACUUCCCAUGUAAUCUCUGUCCUUCUACCCAAUAUCAGUAGCUGGUUUAUGGGGAAGAGCGGAUUUUCAUGGAUGACCUGCCGCUCUCCCACACUGCCGGCCUUGUUGGAAUAAACUCGCAUAUACGACUCAACCCUGUCUCUGCUGACCUGGCUCAAGUAGUGACAGGCAGCCCGGACCCAUUGGUUGUCUGGCUUCAGAGUCAUCGCCCAGCUCUGCAGCUAACACCUGGACGUACCUGUUGGAGGCAAGCGACUACCCAGGGCGGCUGGGCUGCAUGGAGACAGCGCUCCCACUGGCCUGGAGGGUUCCUGCACCACCUGAGCUGGGCAGAGUGCAGGCGGAGGAGAGAUUCUGAGCCGACCACUUUGCCUGGUUCGAUGACCCAGUCAGUCAAGAGUGUGGUCCACACCUGUGCCUCCCUCCUUGUGAGGAGACGGAAGGAAGCCGCAAUGGCUUCCUGACGUUCCUUCCUGUGUUGGGGGAGCCCACCCCUGUGUCCACCUGGCCUCCACACAUGGACUAUUAGACUUUAAUUAGCUUGGACACCAGACUACUCCCCCCGUCACAUGGAAAGGAGGCUCCAGACACCGGCCUGCACUUGGAACCCCAGCUAUCCCUUCUCCAGGACUGGCUUCUCCCAGUAAAC